rnacentral:lncRNA from 1 species
UGUCUCUCUCCCAGGGUUCCAGAGCAAGCAGGAAACAAGCCUUGAGCUCUUCGUUAUAGCUCAACAUAUAGAAUCACAGGAUGUCAGAUCCAUCAGUGGUCUACGUUCAAGCAGGCACAGCUCACACCCAACUGCUCCUCCGUAUGUCCAUCAUCCCUGCACUCUCGGGGAGUGCUGAGGCAGAAGGGUUGCCAGUUCUGGGCCAUCCUGGGCUGCCAAGUGAGUGCCCUGCUUCAGAAUAGAUAAAUAGAUAAUAGACAUUUUAAAAACGGCCUUCACUUUGAAAAUACAGGGUGACUCGGACACUGUCACCUCUUCCUCUUUUUCUUCCAUAGGAACGGAGCUGUGCACGAAUGUAUGCCCCUGGGUUCCUGGAGGAGGAGGAGAGUGUGUAUACAGUUGGCCCUGCUGCUUGCACUCCAGAAACUACUCAGAUGGCAGAAAAGCUGGUGACAUCAGUACCCAGUUGUCACUCAAUAAUUGUGAAUGUUGCUGGAAGAUGUAAGAUGCAGAAUCCAACUCCCUAGCCCCAUGUGACCCACGAACUUGGCUUGGCGACCAGUGCCCGCCUUGACCCACCUCCCAGAAUGGUUCUUGUGCUUGCGCAGCAGGUACUUUGCACAGGGAGGUGGCUUCCUGGGCCCUGCCAGAGCCUUGGUCUUGUUUUCUCUUCUGGACACCGAGUAGCCAGUGGGGAAGGGCUGCCCUUGAUGAAUUCGUUGACCCCGUGCAGAAGUGUGAGCGCGGAGGGAUUUUUCCCGGCUUGAGCCUGUCCGUGGAUGAGGCCUGAGAAGCUGGGUUCUGGAUCCAGCCCACCCCGCCUGUCUGCAGGCGUGAGGCAGGAAGUGUUUUCUUUCUUCUCUGUUCCCCCAAACCAAUCUUUACAUCGAUUCCCACACCUCCACCUCCUGCCUCAGUCCUCAGGCUGCAAGGGUGCCUGAAUGUGUUAGUUUUGCCCACAAACUACAGUGUGACCGCCACUGCCACCAGCUGCUGGCAGCAGGGACCAGGCAUCCUGGUCCGAGCACCUCCUGGGCUCUGGAGACAGGUCACAAACUAAUCCCAUUCUCAGAGACAAACCCCAUUCUCUUCUAGGAUCCAUUUGAGAGAGAGCUAAGUGAGUCAUCUGUACUUAAGCAUUGUCUGAGCACCUACUGUGUACCAAAUCAAACCCAGGCUGGGGAGAUGCCUCCGUGUUAAAACUUUUACUACAUAAGUGGAGGACCCAAGUUCAAAUCUCCCAGAAGCCAUGUAAGUGUCAGGUGGGUGUGGCAGCUCACCUGAAAUUCCAGCCAGGAGAGUGGAGACAGGGGAUCCCCCAGUGAGCUAGCCAGCAAGACUAGCCAUUUCCUCAAGCCUUAGGUUUGACUGAGUGACUCUGUCUCAGUGAUUAAGGAGGAGGAGCAAUGAGGGAUGCAGCCACACACACAUGGGGGAAAUUAAAAAGGGAAACAAAGUCAAGUCACAUUGGUUCCACUGAAUGAGCUCUAGGGUAGCCAUUGGCCCCCACUAACUACACCUUCAGCAUCUUGUAGACCCAACUGGCACCAUAUCAAAAGACUGGAGGUGCAGUGUGGGUGCCCUUCCCAGCAUGCUCUGGUAAAAGAAACAAAUAAAAUAAAUAAAACUAAUAACCACAUCAUCCCCGAUCCAUAUCUACCAAUUCCACCUGUCUUUAUUCCCCAGAUAACAGUGUAGCUGUCCCUAUGCUGACACCCAGAAGUGGUGGACACUUCAAACCCAGCACUCAGGAGGGGUGGAGAAGGAGGGGCUCAGGCACAAGGAUCAGGAGUUCAAGGCCAGCCUAGACACAUAGCAAGACCCCAUUUCAAAAGAGAAAGGGGGCAUGGGAAAAAAUAAGGAGGUACAUGAGGUAUGGCGAGACCAGGUGUGCAAAUCGUUCUUUCUAAUCUGUUUCUGGGUGUGACCCCAUGUGCACCAGUGCAUGAAUAGAAAUGUAUGCAGGGGGUGGUGUGCCUGUGUGUGUGCAUGCAGAGAUCAGGGCAGGACACUGAAUCUCUUCUAUCACACUCUGCCGAUUGCCUCAGGAUGGGGCCUCUCACUGAACCAGAAGCUUGCUUCUUAAGCUGGGCUCUCGACAUUCACCUGACUCCACACCCAAUUCUGGGGUGGGGGUGGGCAGGUCACAAGCACAUGCACCCAUGCUAGAAUUUUUAUGUGGGUAUGGGAUAUUUGAACUUGACUAUCUCGUAGAGUUUCCCCCAGCUCUGUUUUAUUUCUCAGCUUUUAAAGUGUGUGUACAACACCCAGAAGAUACAAUGAAUAAAACCCUCACUCCCCACUUC